CUUGCAUUAAGGACAUUGAUUAUCCAAUAGAUCUGAAGAACUACAUACAAUACAUAUUUAGUGGAACUUAAAAUUAGCAGUAGCAACUAAUUAUAAUACAUUAGCUAAUUGUGUAAAUAAUCACAACAAAUGCAUAUUAAUCAAUAUUUCACCAUUACGGUACUUAUAUAUAGUAAUAACAUAAAACUUGAGAUCAUUUGACGUUUGUUCAAUCAAAAGUCAAUUCAAGACUUGAGCCUUCUCUUUCCGAACAAUGUCUAAAGCCACACAAUCUAAUUCAAUCAAGUAAUCAUGAUAAGAUUCUGAAAAUAACAACACCCAAAUGAUUUACUUUGAAAAAUGGGUCAAAUCAAUUCAUAAAUCCAAUUUCGAAAAUGAGAUUUGAAUCCGAAAAUCCUUUCUUGAAAAUGUUACCCAAGACAUUAGGAACACAAUGGUGAAAACCAUUUCAAAAAAUGAAUUAAAAUUAGUUUACAAUCACCAUUUUACUUUAGAACUCAAAUCCUUAAAAGAUCCUGUCAUUUGCCAAUAAAAAUUUCAAAUUUUGAUGUUAAAAUCCAUAAAUAAUCAAAGGGAGUUGAAGUUUAAGGGUUACAAAGACUUACCCAAUUGAUUCUCCACGAAAAAUCUCUUAAAACCACCUCCAAGGAUUUCCC
rnacentral:lncRNA from 1 species